rnacentral:rRNA from 1 species
UGAAUACGAGACGCUACGGCGUCGAAGCAGUCUAUGUCAGACUUCCAAGAAAAGCUCGCAAUGUCAUAAACAAAUAAUGCCUGUACCAUAACCGACACAGGUGGGUAGGUAGAGUAUACUAAGGGGCGCGAGAUAACUCUCUCUAAGGAACUCGGCAAAAUGACUCCGUAACUUCGGGAGAAGGAGUGCCUUAUUUAUAAGGUUGCAAUAACAAGAUCCAAGCAACUGUUUAUCAAAAACACAGGUCUCCGCUAAGUCGUAAGACGAUGUAUGGGGGCUGACGCCUGCCCAGUGCCAGAAGGUUAAAGAAGUUGGUUAGCAUUCGCGAAGCUGAUAACUGAAGCCCUGGUGAACGGCGGCCGUAACGAUAACGGUCCUAAGGUAGCGAAAUUCCUUGUCGGGUAAGUUCCGACCCGCACGAAAGGCGUAAUGAUUUGGAUACUGUCUCGGAGAGGGGCUCGGUGAAAUAGACUUGUCUGUGAAGAUGCGGACUACCUGCACCUGGACAGAAAGACCCUAUGAAGCUUUACUGUAACUUGAAAUUGAAAUUGGACUUUAUUUGCGCAGCAUAGGUGGGAGGCGUUGAGAGUAUUCUUGCGGGAAUAUUGGAGCCAUCAGUGAGAUACCACUCUUGUAAUGUUAGAUUUCUAACUUUGUAUCAUUAUCUGGUCAAAGAACAGUUUCAGGCGGGCAGUUUGACUGGGGCGGUCGCCUCCCAAACGGUAACGGAGGCGUACAAAGGUUUCCUCUGAACGGGUAGAAAUCGUAUCUAGAGUGUAAAGGCAUAAGGAAGCUUGACUGUGAGACCUACAAGUCGAGCAGGGACGAAAGUCGGUCUUAGUGAUCUGACGGUGCUGAGUGGAAAGGCCGUCACUCAACGGAUAAAAGUUACUCUAGGAUAACAGGCUGAUCUCCCCCAAGAGUUCACAUCGACGGGGAGGUUUGGCACCUCGAUGUCGGCUCAUCGCAUCCUGGGGCGGUAGUACGUCCCAAGGGUUGGGCUGUUCGCCCAUGAAAGCGGUACGCGAGCUGGGUUCAGAACGUCGUGAGACAGUUCGGUCCAUAUCCGGUGUAGGCGUUAGAAUAUUGAGAGGAGCCUUCUUUAGUACGAGAGGACCGAGAAGGACAUACCUCUGGUGUACCAGUUAUCGUGCCAACGGUAAACGCUGGGUAGCUAUGUAUGGAGAGGAUAACCGCUGAAAGCAUCUAAGUGGGAAGCCCACCUCAAGAUAAGUAUUCUC